rnacentral:rRNA from 1 species
UACGUAGGGUGCAAGCGUUGUCCGGAAUUAUUGGGCGUAAAGAGCUCGUAGGCGGUCUGUCGCGUCUGCUGUGAAAACUCAGGGCUCAACCCCGGGCCUGCAUUCGAUACGGGCAGACUAGAGUUCGGUAGGGGAGUCUGGAAUUCCUGGUGUAGCGGUGAAAUGCGCAGAUAUCAGGAGGAACACCGGUGGCGAAGGCGGGACUCUGGGCCGAUACUGACGCUGAGGAGCGAAAGCGUGGGGAGCAAACAGG